UGGACAAAUUAUUGUAUUCGAUUGUACUCACGGCUUGAAAUAGGGGAUUACACUGUUUUUAAAACGGAAAGUGAAUCAAUUAACAUAAUAGACUCCU
rnacentral:pre_miRNA from 1 species